rfam:Homo sapiens chromosome 12, GRCh38 reference primary assembly.
UUCCAUUUCAGAAAGCCGAGGUCAAAAUAAUGAGUCCUGGGGAAUUCAAACUUGUGUUAAGAAAAUGUGUCCCAGUGUGCAAUGGCUGCAAACAGCAGCUUCCUUGGUAGUGUAUGCAGCCUGUUUGUUGUACGGGUUGCUCUAAAGGGCCUUGGAGACAGUC